rnacentral:tRNA from 1 species
CUAAAAAUAAGCUAAUUUUUAAGCUGUUGGGCUCAUAACUCAAAAAUAGAGUAAUCUUUUUUAGA